rnacentral:rRNA from 1 species
UACUAAAGUUGUUGCGGUUAAAAAGCUCGUAGUUGAAAUUGUGUCCUGCGGUGUCGGUCUACCGAAUGCGGUACGACAGGCACGUCUGCGGGGCUUCUCGCCGGUGCGUCCACCGCCGCGUGUGUCGGUCGGCCUCACGGUCGGCCGCGCACCGAGGCGGGCCGUCGCGGCUGUUUACUUUGAACAAAUUAGAGUGCUCAAAGCGGGCUAACACUUGCCUGAAUAUUGUACGCAUGGAAUAAUAGAAUAGGACCUCGGUUCUGUUUUGUUGGCUUUCUGAUACCAGAGGUAAUGAUUAAUAGGGACGACUGGGGGCAUUCGUAUUGAGACGUUAGAGGUGAAAUUCUUGGAUCGUCGCAAGACGGACUAAAGCGAAAGCAUUUGCCAAAGGUGUUUUCAUUAAUCAAGAACGAAAGUUAGAGGUUCGAAGGCGAUUAGAUACCGCUGUAGUUCUAACCAUAAAUGAUGCCAGCCAGCGAUCCGCCGAAGUUUCAUAAUUUUAACCCGGUGGCAGYU